CUUUGCCUGCUAUCUCUUACCCAUGUCUUUUGAGUACUUACGUUUCCUCGGUGGGUUCGCCCGCCGAUUGGACAAUUUAAACCCUUUGCAGUUGCAAUCAGCGUCUGAAAAACAUAAUAGUUACAACUUUCAACAACGGAUCUCUUGGUUCUGGCAUCGAUGAAGAACGCAGCGAAAUGCGAUAAGUAGUGUGAAUUGCAGAAUUCAGUGAAUCAUCGAAUCUUUGAACGCACAUUGCGCCCCUUGGUAUUCCAUGGGGCAUGCCUGUUCGAGCGUCAUUUGUACCUUCAAGCAUUGCUUGGUGUUGGGUGUUUGUCUCGCCUUUGCGUGUAGACUCGCCUUAAAACAAUUGGCAGCCGGCGUAUUGAUUUCGGAGCGCAGUACAUCUCGCGCUUUGCACUCAUAACGACGACGUCCAAAAGUACAUUUUAACACUCUUGACCUCGGAUCAGGUAGGGAUACCCGCUGAACUUAAGCAUAUCAAU
rnacentral:rRNA from 1 species